CCCCCCGAAACUAGGCGAGCUACUUUACAACAGCCCACAGAGCCAACCCGUCCCUGUUGCAAAAGGGUGGGAAGAUUUUAAAGUAGAGGUGACACACCCAUCGAGCCUAGAGAUAGCUGGUUAUUCAGAAAAAGGAUCUAAGUCCAACUUUAAGUUACCCUUAGUAAUACUAAACACACCCCACAGCUUAAAAGCCAUUCAAGUAGGGUACAGCCUACUUGAACAAGGAUACAACCUACAAUACAGGGUAAUGAUAACACACAUGACCAAGUAGGCCUAAAAGCAGCCAACUUCCAAAAAGCGUCCAAGCUUCUUCACUGCCAAUCUACAAUCCAACUAUUCACACACAACCCACAACCACUACUGAAUGAUUCCAUGCCCACAUGGAAGACACUAUGCUAGAACUAGUAACAA
rnacentral:rRNA from 1 species